rnacentral:rRNA from 1 species
UAUGUAGGGUGCGAGCGUUGUCCGGAAUUAUUGGGCGUAAAGAGCUUGUAGGCGGUUUGUCGCGUCUGCUGUGAAAAUCCGGGGCUCAACCCCGGACUUGCAGUGGGUACGGGCAGACUAGAGUGUGGUAGGGGAGACUGGAAUUCCUGGUGUAGCGGUGAAAUGCGCAGAUAUCAGGAGGAACACCGGUGGCGAAGGCGGUUCUCUGGGCCUUACCUGACGCUGAGGAGCGAAAGCGUGGGGAGCAAACAGG